rnacentral:lncRNA from 1 species
ACAAAUUUAAAGUAAAUCUUGAUAAUAAGAAACUUUAUUAUUAAUUCAAACAAUCUAUAAAAAAUAUCGUACCUAUGUGCAUAUAUAUAAUGAAGCACGAUUUUAUAAACAACGUCAAUUAAAGUAAAAAGUAUAUAUAUAUAUAUAUAUAUAUAUGCAUAUGAUCAAAACGUUGCUACUGAUAUCAGUUAAUUUUUUUUAACCAAAUCGAUUAAAAAAAAAGAUUAAAAAAAAAUGAUUAAAAAAAAAUGAUUAACAAAAAAUGGUUAAAAAAAAAGAUUAAAAAAAAAUGAUUAAAAAAAAAUGAUUAAAAAUGGAGUUGUUAAAAAAGAGAAAGUGUUAUAGAGAGUUGUGAUAAAAAAAUAAAUUUUAGUUUUUAUCUACAAAAAAAAAAAAAAAAAAAAAAAAAAAAAAAAAAAAAGUGUCAAUAUUUGUUAAUGUGAUACCAAUUAAGAAACUUGAAAAUGAAGAAAAAAGGCACAAUUUAUUAAUAUACCUAUCCAUCUAUUUGUUUGUUUCUUUAUUUCAUUUUUUAUAGAUGUUAAUACAUUUAUAUAUUUUCAAAAAUUGAUAGAUCUAAAAAAUAGUCAAGUUUUCAAUAUAAUAUGGUAAAAAAAAAAAAAAAAAAAAAAAAAAAGAAAUUAUGCAAAGUAUACAAACAUCAUAUGUUUGUAACAUAUAUACUUGUAUAAGUACCUAUAAGUAUAUAUAAGCACAUAUAAACAUAUAUUACUAAAACGUGUUAUAAACAUUUAACACCGGUUAACAUGUUUUUUUUUGAUUUAAAACUAUGGAUAAUAUUAUUAUUAUUAAUAAUUUAAACUAUUAUUACCACAAUAGAAUAAAAAACACAAACACAAAAGCUCUUGAUAAUGUAAAUUUGUCAUUUAAACGAGGAAUGAGGAUUGUUGUAUGUGGAAAAAAUGGAGCAGGAAAAAGUACCUUACUAAGUAUUUUAGCAGGAAAGAAAUUAAUAAAUGAGCAAGAAGUUUUAAUUUUCAACAAACCUGUUUUCCAUGACACUUCAUUGUCAGACACAAUAGGAUACAUCGGUGAAUGGUGGAGCAAUGACUAUGCAAUGAAUAUAUCAAUAAAAAACUUUUUUAUUAAAUAUCAAAAUUCUAAAAGAUAUAAACAACUGUUAAAACUUUUCGAAAUUAAUGAAAAUAAAUUAAUUAGCAGUCUUUCAACAGGGGAAAAAAAAAAAAGUUCAAAUAUUAGUUAG